CCCGACCGGGGCACAAACCCAUGUCCCCUGCAUCGGCAGGCCGACGCUCAACCACUGCGCCACCAGGGAAGCCCUGCAUUCCCUUUUGUAGCGGCAGGGUCCAUUCCUUAUAUAACGAACACAGGUCAUCUUUGCUUUAAACCAGCCCCUCCUGCAGCAGGAGAGCCUGUGAGUGGGCAGCCUUCAGAUCCCCUAUACAACAGAGGACCUCAUCAAACACUAUAACUGCGGGGACCUCAGUUCCAUCAUCUUCAGCCAUGACAGCUCCCAGGUUCCCAAUUUUAUUAAUGCCACGCUACCACCUGCGGAGCGCAUCGCUGCUCAGGAGAUCGACAGCUACUUCCGCUGGGAGCUUAUCUACAAGCGGAACAAGAGAAUGGGGAAGCAGGUGAAGGCCCUUUUGGAGGAGU